AACGAACGCUGGCGGCAUGCCUAACACAUGCAAGUCGAACGAGACCUUCGGGUCUAGUGGCGCACGGGUGCGUAACGCGUGGGAACCUGCCCUUAGGUUCGGAAUAACUCCCCGAAAGGGGUGCUAAUACCGGAUAAUGUCUUCGGACCAAAGAUUUAUCGCCUUUGGAUGGGCCCGCGUUGGAUUAGCUAGUUGGUAGGGUAAAAGCCUACCAAGGCGACGAUCCAUAGCUGGUCUGAGAGGAUGAUCAGCGACACUGGGACUGAGACACGGCCCAGACUCCUACGGGAGGCAGCAGUGGGGAAUAUUGGACAUGGGCGAAAGCCUGAUCCAGCAAUGCCGCGUGAGUGAUGAAGGCCUUAGGGUUGUAAAGCUCUUUUACCCGGGAUGAUAAUGACAGUACCGGGAGAAUAAGCUCCGGCUAACUCCGUG
rnacentral:rRNA from 1 species